rnacentral:tRNA from 1 species
GGAGGUAUAGCUCAGUGGUAGAGCAUACGACUGCAGAUCAAUCUCCAGUUUAAAUCUGGGUGCCUCCU